GCUGAAGGGCGGGGGCGCGACAGGGCCGGCAGGCUGUUGGCCAAACCAAAGAAUUCCAUAUACUUACCAUGGAGAGUUCUGGAAAAGCCAGGAACACAGACGAUUGCUAGUUGUAAUAAAUGGAACAUUACCUCGGCAUAAGGGGACAAUGUGAUCACCCAACAUAUAAGUUUGAAUUGAACUCUCAAAGCAAUGAUGUUCAAGUGACUUCAAAACUAAGCUAAUCAACUUCACUCAUGCUUGUGCAGAGAGCCACUGGGACAUGCAGAUUGCAGCCUGAAGCCAUACCACCUCCAGCUUGGUCUCCUUCAGAUCUUCUCUUUGCAUGGUUGGAUCUUGUCAGGAGUUACUUGGACAGAGGAUCUCCAAGGGAAACCCUGAUGUUGCAGGAAGAGCUGACACUGAUCCUUCUGCUUACAAGCUGAACCAAUACACUGUUACGACCCUGUGUGCUACAAUCCAGACUACAAUUCCCAUG